AUGAUGGCGUGAUUCCAGACUCGUAUAAUGCCAAGAAUAUGGCUUGGCAGUCUCUACGAGGCAACCGUAAAUUGCCUGGCUACGAGGUCGGAGGUAAAUUCG
rnacentral:ncRNA from 2 species